rnacentral:tRNA from 1 species
AACACGUUAGUUUAAAUGGGGAAGCACCACUAUGGUAAUGUGGAGAUAUGGGUUCGAAUCCUGUACGUGUUA